GUAAUACGUAGGGUGCGARCGUUGUCCGGAAUUAUUGGGCGUAAAGAGCUUGUAGGCGGUUUGUCGCGUCUGCAGUGAAAAUCCGGGGCUCAACCCCGGACUUGCUGUGGGUACGGGCAGACUAGAGUGUGGUAGGGGAGACCGGAAUUCCUGGUGUAGCGGUGGAAUGCGCAGAUAUCAGGAGGAACACCGAUGGCGAAGGCAGGUCUCUGGGCCACAACUGACGCUGAGAAGCGAAAGCAUGGGGAGCGAACAGGAUUAGAUACCCUGGUAGUCCAUGCCGUAAACGUUGGGCGCUAGGUGUGGGGCUCAUUCCACGAGCUCUGUGCCGCAGCUAACGCAUUAAGCGCCCCGCCUGGGGAGUACGSCCGCAAGGCUAAAACUCAAAGGAAUUGWCGGGGGCCCGCACAAGCGGCGGAGCAUGCGGAUUAAUUCGAUGCAACGCGAAGAACCUUACC
rnacentral:rRNA from 1 species